rnacentral:rRNA from 1 species
AUUGAACGCUGGCGGCAUGCCUUACACAUGCAAGUCGAACGGUAACAGGUCUUCGGAUGCUGACGAGUGGCGAACGGGUGAGUAAUACAUCGGAACGUGCCCGAUCCUGGGGGAUAACGGAGCGAAAGCUUUGCUAAUACCGCAUACGAUCUACGGAUGAAAGCAGGGGACCGCAAGGCCUUGCGCGGACGGAGCGGCCGAUGGCAGAUUAGGUAGUUGGUGGGAUAAAAGCUUACCAAGCCGACGAUCUGUAGCUGGUCUGAGAGGACGACCAGCCACACUGGGACUGAGACACGGCCCAGACUCCUACGGGAGGCAGCAGUGGGGAAUUUUGGACAAUGGGCGAAAGCCUGAUCCAGCCAUGCCGCGUGCAGGAUGAAGGCCUUCGGGUUGUAAACUGCUUUUGUACGGAACGAAAAGACUCUUUCUAAUAAAGAGGGUCCAUGACGGUACCGUAAGAAUAAGCACCGGCUAACUACGUG